ensembl:lincRNA
AUGGGGCUAGGGUCAGAGCAGCCGGCCCGGACCGAGGCUGAGGGCGGCAGGGCUGGCGCAGCCCUUCUCUGGGUGGAAGAGACGCCGGAGCAGCGUCUUCCGUCAGGUGGGCGACGCCGAGGGGCUGCCCCGGCUCUGGCCUGCAGGUGGCGCUGUGGGCCAUCGCAAAGGAUUUGCUGUCUCUUCUCUCAGCCUCACCCACAGCCAGGAGCUACACAGCCUUGGAUAAGCAGCCUGCAAGCGCUUUCCAAACGCCACAGUGUACACACACACACACACACACACACACACACACACACACACACACGAACAAAGGGACCAGAACCGGCAGGAUUUUACGGACUGAUAUCAUCUCAUAGAGCAAAAACAACUCCAGGAGCACUAACAGCUCCACCCAGUUUUAGGAGGUCAACCUGGCUGCUCUAGGCUGAUGCUGACACCAACACCAGCCCAUGUUUGACUCCCAUAAAAACCGUAAUUGCCAGCAAAGCUCUUCUCCCCAAAGACGCAAGGUGCCAGAACUACAAUGUACUUGUUCAGGUCUCCCCAGGUCCCUCAGGAAGCCUUUCUUCAACCGCCAGCCCCUAUGCUUUGCCUGUCAUGUCACACCACACACCAUUGUAUGUGUUUAUCUGUCCUAUCUUUUCCCACUGGAUCUUGGACUUUAUGAAGUUUGGGAUUGUGAAUUUCUCUUGAAUCCCCAGGGCGUUUGGUAGGUGCUAGGUGAAUGCUUGGAUAGGGCUAAGCAUUUGUUGAUUGAAGAAAGAGGCCUGGUGACUACCAUCCUCCCUACCUCUGAAACGCAUUGCUCCUCCACCAGAUGGCAUUUCUCUGACCCUCUGUCCCCUCCCCAGCUUGCCUGCCUAAGUCACCCAAGGGCCAGCAGUCAUCGGAGUUAGUCGCAAACUCCCAGCUCUGUCUUCCUCUAGCUGUGUGGCCUUCAGGAAGUUCAUCUCGCCUCUUUGGUUUUUUUUUUCUUUUUUUUUUUUUUCAUCUCUAAAAGAGACAGUUUGCAAGCCAAGGCAGAGCAAUUUAAUAAACUAUUUAAUAAACUCCCUGGCAGAGGCAGAAAGGAGUCUGUGCAGAGCGGGGCAUAAAGGGGAGGCAAGGAGCUGCAAUUACCGCUGCAGAGUGACAGAGGCUGUCAGCAGGCGCCUGCCAGGUAGAACAUGACAUCUGAACCUCAUUCCUUGUGGCAGUGACAUGGAGAGGGCGGCAGAAUGGGGGAGGGGGAUGCUGAGCCUCUCAGAGCUCGGGGGAUAGGGCUUCUGGGGGCAAAGCGGGGUGGACAGGGUUCUGCCUGGCCCCUGGGAAGGCAGAUUGCUAAGGGGUUGGAAGAGGGACCAUUUCCUGUGUGGAGUAACUGAUACCUUCUCUGCCUGGUUUUCAUUAGCCCAGCCCGGCCUGCCUCCUCACUGCAAAGCACCCUGGGAAAUGGAGGCAGGGCAGUCCGUGCAUCUCCCCCUGCUGUUGAUGUUAUCUGCGGGGCCCCUGUUCCUGGCCAGAUGCCAUGGGCAGUCCUUUAUGCUUCCCUCAAACCUGUUCGGGCAAUAUUUAUCUCCUCAUUUUGCAGACAAGGGUUCUGGGACUCUUUCCAUCUAUCCACGCCCCAGAUUCUGUUCCCUGCUUGGCCACGACCUUGUUGGGGCACUGUGGGCGGGUCUUCUGCCUGCUCUGGGGCCCCUUGUAGCCCUGAUGGUGGUGGGCACUGCAUCCUGCAGAUGUUGGCAGGUCCCUCUGCCCUGUCUGAGCAAACUCUGCAGAGCCUCCCCUCCCUCACUCCCCUCCCUCACUCCCCUCCCAUGAUUUGUGGUUGUGGUCCUUGGAGAAGCCCCUGAGUAAAUAUUAAUAAUGUGCCUUUAUGUACAUUGGCUGAGGGAGAGAAUGAAUCAUUUCCUGCUUUCCUCCUGGCCUCAGAAUCUUAACUAAAGAAUAUGCUGUGUCUUUGGCCAGUUGUGAAAGCUCUGGUGGAGGGAGGUGAGGCAGAACACAGGUCACUGCCUGCUGCCCACUGGCGCUGAGAUCCUGCCCCUCCCAAGCUUGCCUGGAUGUCCUGUUAGCACAGAAAACACAGGACCAAAGUGCCCGUCUCCAAGUUGUACCUCUGGCAUGGCACAGAGAUCCUUUUCUGGGAUGUAUACCUGGGAUGCAUACCUGUCCUGCAGGCUAGGCCAGCCACUUCCACACCUCGGGCUCAUUCCUCACCAGUGUCUGAUAAGCUCCUCAGUGCUGGUGUCUGCAUGAAAGAGAUCAUGAGACCUGGGAAGGAAGACAUCAGUCAAGCUCCAGGUUGCCAAGGGGACACAGAGAAAGGCAGAUAGGUGGGAGCCCCAAGGCAGGGCUUGGACACCAGCUCACCAUUAGCAGCACUAUUUCACAUGCUGUCGGAUGUCGCCACAAGCCUGUGGGCUGCAAAGUAUCACCCAUUGAUGCAGAUGAAGAAACUGAGGCUCAUCAGAGACCUCCAAAGGCCCCAGUACAAGUGAAGGAAGAAAGGAGAGGAGCCCAGAGCCAACGCUGUAUCCUGUUCUUCCAUCUUUGCCAGGCUUUGGAGAAGAGGCAAGUGGGUUGGAUCAAGGGGAAACUUCAGAGCUGUCUGUGGAAGAAGAUGAGGACUGGAAAUGGAAUGGAGGAGGAGCGUGUGGUGGGAUGGGGAGGGCAGGGGUGGUCAGCUCACCAGUAAGGUCAGCAGCUGCUGCAUUUGCCUGAGCACCUACUGCAUGCACAGACUUUGCUAGCCUCUGAGUAUGUCAUCUCAUUACUUAUCUGCUGGGCUGUGACUCGCACUGUCACAGUAGGUCAGAGGAGCUAGGGUCAGAUCUAGGUCUACAUGUUUGCAGAGCCAGAAGCUCCACUGUCCCACCCAGAUGGAGCUUCUGCUCCAAAAUCUCCUUCUGGCUGUGUGUCCUGUGGCCAAAUCACUUAACCUCUCUGAGCCACCUUUUCUUCGUCUGUCAGAUAGUGACUAUAAUGUGUAUGGAAUCUAAAGGGGAAAGUUAUUUUUGAUUGCCAGCAUUGUCCUUAGGGAAAAUAUAGGGUUCUCCUGGAAGAUGUCCAUGUGGACCAAAAGUGGGUACCCUGAGGGCAUAAGCCUGCUGCACGGAGGGGUCUGGAGGGCUGCAGGCAACAGGGCCAGUUUC